rnacentral:tRNA from 1 species
GCUGCUGUAUAGCCCAGUUGGUUAGAGCAUGGUGCUUAUAACACCAGGGUUGCAGGUUCGACUCCCGUAUGGGACAGCUGCA